rnacentral:rRNA from 1 species
UACAGAGGUCUCAAGCGUUGUUCGGAUUCAUUGGGCGUAAAGGGUGCGUAGGCGGCGCGGUAAGUCGGGUGUGAAAUCUUGGAGCUUAACUCCGAAACUGCAUUCGAUACUGCCGUGCUUGAGGACUGGAGAGGAGACUGGAAUUUUACGGUGUAGCGGUGAAAAUGCGUAGAUAUCGUAAGGAAGACCAGUGGCGAAGGCGGGUCUCUGGACAGUUCCUGACACUGAGACACGAAGGCCAGGGGGAGCAAAACGGG